GUCGCUCAUCCCAGCUGUUCUCCUUAAUCGAACAGCUAAGAUGGUAUGAGCUCCAAG
rnacentral:ncRNA from 1 species